rnacentral:lncRNA from 1 species
AUCCUGGAGAAAUCAGGCGGGACAAGGGGCGAAAGGUUUGCGGGGGACCAAACCGGAGGAAUGCGAUAGAAGAAAAAUAGAGGAGAAAAGGCCCCUAAAUGGCAAGAAGAGGAACGAAAGUUUCGGGACUAACCUAGAUCAUUCCGAAGGAUGCAGAGGGGCGAGGAUAGGGAUGACUCGAAGAACGCCUAGGGCCAAGG